GAUGAACGCUAGCGGCAGGCCUAAUACAUGCAAGUCGAGGGGUAGAGGGAGCUUGCUUCCUUGAGACCGGCGCACGGGUGCGUAACGCGUAUGCAACCUACCUUUAUCUGGGGGAUAGCCCGGAGAAAUCCGGAUUAAUACCGCAUAAAAUCACAGAAUAGCAUUAUUUAAUGAUCAAACAUUUAUGGGAUGAAGAUGGGCAUGCGUGUCAUUAGCUAGUUGGCGGGGUAACGGCCCACCAAGGCGACGAUGACUAGGGGAUCUGAGAGGAUGGCCCCCCACACUGGUACUGAGACACGGACCAGACUCCUACGGGAGGCAGCAGUAAGGAAUAUUGGUCAAUGGAGGCAACUCUGAACCAGCCAUGCCGCGUGCAGGAAGACUGCCCUAUGGGUUGUAAACUGCUUUUAUCCGGGAAUAAACCUACUUACGUGUAAGUAGCUGAAUGUACCGGAAGAAUAAGGAUCGGCUAACUCCGUGCCAGCAGCCGCGGUAAUACGGAGGAUCCAAGCGUUAUCCGGAUUUAUUGGGUUUAAAGGGUGCGUAGGCGGCCUGUUAAGUCAGGGGUGAAAGACGGUAGCUCAACUAUCGCAGUGCCCUUGAUACUGAUGGGCUUGAAUGGACUAGAGGUAGGCGGAAUGAGACAAGUAGCAGUGAAAUGCAUAGAUAUGUCUCAGAACACCGAUUGCGAAGGCAGCUUACUAUGGUCUUAUUGACGCUGAGGCACGAAAGCGUGGGGAUCAAACAGGAUUAGAUACCCUGGUAGUCCACGCCCUAAACGAUGAACACUCGCUGUUGGCGAUACACAGUCAGCGGCUAAGCGAAAGCGUUAAGUGUUCCACCUGGGGAGUACGCCCGCAAGGGUGAAACUCAAAGGAAUUGACGGGGGCCCGCACAAGCGGAGGAGCAUGUGGUUUAAUUCGAUGAUACGCGAGGAACCUUACCCGGGCUUGAAAGUUAGUGAAUGAUCUAGAGAUAGAUCAGUGAGCAAUCACACGAAACUAGGUGCUGCAUGGCUGUCGUCAGCUCGUGCCGUGAGGUGUUGGGUUAAGUCCCGCAACGAGCGCAACCCCUAUGUUUAGUUGCCAGCAUGUAAUGAUGGGGACUCUAAACAGACUGCCUGUGCAAACAGAGAGGAAGGAGGGGACGACGUCAAGUCAUCAUGGCCCUUACGUCCGGGGCUACACACGUGCUACAAUGGAUGGUACAGAGGGCAGCUAGCUGGCAACAGUAUGCGAAUCUCACAAAGCCAUUCACAGUUCGGAUUGGGGUCUGCAACUCGACCCCAUGAAGUUGGAUUCGCUAGUAAUCGCGUAUCAGCAAUGACGCGGUGAAUACGUUCCCGGGCCU
rnacentral:rRNA from 1 species